UGAAAGAACAGAGCACAAUUAUUUU
rnacentral:piRNA from 1 species